rnacentral:rRNA from 1 species
UACAGAGGGGGCAAGCGUUGUUCGGAAUUACUGGGCGUAAAGGGCGCGUAGGCGGCCUGCUAAGUCGAACGUGAAAUCCCCGGGCUCAACCCGGGAACUGCGUCCGAUACUGGCAGGCUUGAAUCCGGGAGAGGGAUGUGGAAUUCCAGGUGUAGCGGUGAAAUGCGUAGAUAUCUGGAGGAACACCGGUGGCGAAGGCGGCAUCCUGGACCGGUAUUGACGCUGAGGCGCGAAAGCCAGGGGAGCAAACAGG